rnacentral:rRNA from 1 species
CACGUAGGGCGCAAGCGUUGUCCGGAAUUAUUGGGCGUAAAGAGCUCGUAGGCGGACUGUUGCGUCUGCUGUGAAAAGCUAGGGCUUAACCCUGGCCUUGCAGUGGAUACGGGCAGACUAGAGGUAGGUAGGGGAGAAUGGAAUUCCCGGUGUAGCGGUGAAAUGCGCAGAUAUCGGGAGGAACACCUGUGGCGAAAGCGGCGCACUGGACCAUAACUGACGCUGAGGCGCGAAAGCUAGGGGAGCAAACAG